rnacentral:rRNA from 1 species
UACGUAGGGGGGCGAGCGUUUGUCCGGAAUCAUUGGGCGUAAAGCGCGUGUAGGCGGCUCGGUAAGUCCGGUGUGAAACCUUGGGGGCUCAACCCCAAGCCUGCACUGGAUACUGUCGAGCUUGAGUCCGGGAGGGGAGAGCGGAAUUCCUAGUGUAGCGGUGAAAUGCGCAGAUAUUAGGAAGAACACCGGUGGCGAAGGCGGCUCUCUGGAACGGUACUGACGGCUGAGACGCGAAAGCGUGGGGAGCGAACGAGG